GCUGCUCGGAUAAUCACACACCUCUUCGUGGUGAGCAGCAGGCAACGAUCUGUGAUCGGCAGAGAUGUGAUA
rnacentral:ribozyme from 1 species